rnacentral:lncRNA from 1 species
CGCCAUAUCCAGGCUGUUGCGUCUGAUGGGCGCCAUAUCCAGGCUGUUGCGCCUGAUGGGCGCCAUAUCCGGGCUGUUGCGCUUGAUGGGCGCCAUAUCCAGGCUGUUGCGCUUGAUGACCGCCAUAUCCGGACUGUUGUGCUUGAUGAGCGCCAUGGCCUGACUGUUGUGCUUGAUGAGCGCCAUGGCCUGACUGUUGUGCUUGUUGAGCGCCAUGGCCUGGCUGUUGUGCUUGUUGAGCGCCAU